UAUGGUGACUAUAGCGGCGGGGUCCACCUCUUCCCAUUCCGAACAGAGAAGUUAAGCCCGCCAGCGCAGAUGGUACUACUACGGUGGGAGAGUAUGUCGUCGCCAGCC
rnacentral:rRNA from 1 species